rnacentral:rRNA from 1 species
UACGGAGGGGGCGAGCGUUGUCCGAAUUUAUUGGGCGUAAAGCGCGUGUAGGCGGGUGAUCAAGCCUGUGGUGAAAGGUUGGGGCUCAACCCCAAGAGUGCCGUGGGGACUGGUCGCCUGGAGGCAGGCAGAGGAGAGCGGAAUUCCUGGUGUAGCGGUGGAAUGCGUAGAGAUCAGGAAGAACACCCGUGGCGAAGGCGGCUCUCUGAGCCUGUCCUGACGCUGAGACGCGAAAGCGUGGGGAGCGAACAGG